rnacentral:tRNA from 1 species
GGAGAGGUCGCCUAGUCCGGCUUAUGGCGCGCGCUUGGAAAGCGCGUAUACCGAAAGGUAUCCAGGGUUCGAAUCCCUGCCUCUCCG